rnacentral:lncRNA from 1 species
ACAUAUUGGACAACAAUGAUGAUAGGUUCACAAACAUACAUAAAUAUAUAUUCACACAGGUUCACAAGCAUAGUUUGACCAUCCAGAACACACAAGUCACAUAAAAAGGGCCACUAUUUGCUAGUCUGAACUAAUUCAAACAAUGGUCCAGAACACACAAAUCACAUAUAUGAGCACAAAGUUUCUACUCCAAAACACUUGAAGCACCAAAUGGUCCGGAACACACAAAUCACAUACAUGAGCACAAAGUUUCUACUCCAAAACACUUGAAGCACCAAAUGGUCCAGAACACACAUAAGAUUCAAGAAAUGAUUGAAGUUGGUUGGUCCAAAAUACUGCAAACAGCCAUAUGUGUUCCAUGACACUCCAAGUCCUCCUCACAUCCAAUGCUAGGUGUGGCUAAGUACCUGAAAAUAUUCCAUAUGAAUUUGUCACGAAAGUGCAAUCAUUCCAAAAGUUGUUCAAAGCUCAUAUGAAGAUUGUUAGGCUAGAGCGGCACAUGCUAGCUUAUACUUGAUUGUUCAUGUGAGAGUAACAUUGUUAUAUGACCAUGAAUACACACAAAUAUUUGUUCCUAUGCGGUGAAGUGUAGUGUUGCGGGCUUCCUUCUCCACAGGAAUCAAUCACCACAGGAAACAAUUUUCUGCUAUUUUUAUCAACAUCAUUUGAUCAACACACUUGAGUUCCUUUUGGUUUCAUGUCCCAGAAUUAUUAGCAAGAGCAUUCCCAGAAAAUCUACUUGUGCAUAUAUGCUACAGAAAUGCUUAUGACGAGUAAAACACAUUCUCAAAAAUAAUCUUGGCAUGGCAACAAACAAACUAAACUAAUACAAGGGGAAAGGAUGCAGACAGAAUUAGGAUGUGGCUAUUUUCAAGUUUGUAACAUAUUUGACCAAGAUCAAGACAUGGAUUAUCAAUAUGUUUCCGCAGAAUCAUUUCUUAAUUGAGCCUCACGACACCAUCAGAAUUACAAUAUUCUAUUCUGAAGCUCAAAAGUUCAGACUGGUGGCAAGUUAAUAAGCUAACAUGGCAGCUCUGUGAGUCUGCAACAGGUUAUAAAGGAUAAGAUGAGGCCUACAAACUUGGCAAUAAAUACCAUAAGAUAGGAUUCCUGAUCAGCAAUAUUAUCUGUUAACAACUCAUAGUAGUAGUUGUAGCUUGUUAUAUUUAAGAACAGGCAGUAGUAGUUUAUAAAGAAAUGGGCUUGUCAGAUAUUAAGAGUUGUAGGUUGUAAUAAUAUUUAAGAACUGGCAGUAGUAGAUUGUACUAAACUUUUAUAUGCUAUAGAGGAAACAUGGUUGUGCCUUAUGUAGUUAUGUUGCACUUCUUUGUACAUUGUCUUGACACAUUCAGUUUACUUGUAAUGUAUAAAUUAGAUGAAGAGAUACUACAAUAUCACGAGCCAUUGAGGAUGAAGCUGAGGUUACCAUCUAUGAUCUAUUUAAAGAGGAAAUAAAAAUCUAAAGCUUCCACAAGUAGAGGCAACUGCUGUUAGUACCCGCACCUCCUGGCACAUUAGUUGUCUUCUUGGCAUCUUUGAUCUGCAACAAGACAACAACAAUCAUUACUCUUUGGUCUAAUUCCCAAAACAACUGAAAAAUAGGCAUUCAAAAAUAGGCCUACAUGUAAUUAUUACUAGUACGAAUGCCGUGCUACAAUCUUCAACUUCAGUAUCAAAUAUGUUGUCAUCAGAGACGCCCGAGUAGUUCCGCUGCACUGAGAGCGCUCUGCUGAUGUUGCACAGCACGGCCUGCUCGUGCUGCUGCUCUUGCAUGCUCAGGCUGUCGGGCAUCCGGAAAG